AUUGAACGCUGGCGGCAGGCCUAGCACAUACAAGUCGAGCGGAUGAAGGGAGCUUGCUCCUGGAUUCAGCGGCGGACGGGUGAGUAAUGCCUAGGAAUCUGCCUGGUAGUGGGGGAUAACGUCCGGAAACGGGCGCUAAUACCGCAUACGUCCUGAGGGAGAAAGUGGGGGAUCUUCGGACCUCACGCUAUCAGAUGAGCCUAGGUCGGAUUAGCUAGUUGGUGGGGUAAAGGCCUACCAAGGCGACGAUCCGUAACUGGUCUGAGAGGAUGAUCAGUCACACUGGAACUGAGACACGGUCCAGACUCCUACGGGAGGCAGCAGUGGGGAAUAUUGGACAAUGGGCGAAAGCCUGAUCCAGCCAUGCCGCGUGUGUGAAGAAGGUCUUCGGAUUGUAAAGCACUUUAAGUUGGGAGGAAGGGCAGUAAGUUAAUACCUUGCUGUUUUGACGUUACCAACAGAAUAAGCACCGGCUAACUUCGUG
rnacentral:rRNA from 1 species